CCUACGGGGGACAGCAGUGAGGAAUAUUGGUCAAUGGGCGCUAGCCUGAACCAGCCAAGUAGCGUGAAGGAUGACUGCCCUAUGGGUUGUAAACUUCUUUUAUAUGGGAAUAAAGUGCAGUAUGUAUACUGCUUUGCAUGUACCUUAUGAAUAAGGAUCGGCUAACUCCGUGCCAGCAGCCGCGGUAAUCCGGAGGAUCCGAGCGUUAUCCGGAUUUAUUGGGUGUAAAGGGAGCGUAGGCGGGUUGUUAAGUCAGUUGUGAAAGUUUGCGGCUCAACCGUAAAAUUGCAGUGGAUACUGGCAGCCUUGAGUACAGUAGAGGUAGGCGGAAUUCGUGGUGUAGCGGUGAAAUGCUUAGAUAUCACGAAGAACUCCGAUUGCGAAGGCAGCCUGCUGGACUGUAACUGACGCUGAUGCUCGAAAGUGUGGGUAUCAAACAGGAUUAGAUACCCCAGUAGUC
rnacentral:rRNA from 1 species